CCCUUAGAUGUUCUGGGCCGCACGCGUGCUACACUGAGUAAAUCAAUGGGUAAGGGAACACGAAAGUGCAACCUAAUCUUGAAAUUUGCUCGUGAUGGGGAUCGACGGUUGCAAUUUUCCGUCGUGAACGAGGAAUACCUUGUAGGCGCGUGUCAUCAUCACGCGCCGAAUACGUCCCUGCCCUUUGUACACACCGCCCGUUGCUCCUACCGAUUGAGUGAUCCGGUGAGGCUCUGGGACCUGGACGGAAAGAGCGUUUCGCUUGUUCUGUUUGGGAAACUUGGUCGAACCUUAUCAUUUAGAGGAAGGAGAAGUCGUAACA
rnacentral:rRNA from 1 species